UUUUCCGUAGGUGAACCUGCGGAGGGAUCAUUACACAAAUAGGAAGCCGGGAGAAAACCUCUCGGGGUUACAGCCUUGCUGAAUUAUUCACCCUUGUCUUUUGCGUACUUCUUGUUUCCUUGGUGGGUUCGCCCACCACUAGGACAAACAUAAACCUUUUGUAAUUGCAAUCAGCGUCAGUAACAAAUUAAUAAUUACAACUUUCAACAACGGAUCUCUUGGUUCUGGCAUCGAUGAAGAACGCAGCGAAAUGCGAUAAGUAGUGUGAAUUGCAGAAUUCAGUGAAUCAUCGAAUCUUUGAACGCACAUUGCGCCCUUUGGUAUUCCAAAGGGCAUGCCUGUUCGAGCGUCAUUUGUACCCUCAAGCUUUGCUUGGUGUUGGGCGUCUUGUCUCUAGCUUUGCUGGAGACUCGCCUUAAAGUAAUUGGCAGCCGGCCUACUGGUUUCGGAGCGCAGCACAAGUCGCACUCUCUAUCAGCAAAGGUCUAGCAUCCAUUAAGCCUUUUUUCAACUUUGACCUCGGAUCACGGAGGGAGACCCGAGGAACUUAAGCAUAUCAAUAAGCGGAGGAA
rnacentral:rRNA from 1 species